rnacentral:rRNA from 1 species
CCUACGGGAGGCUGCAGUGAGGAAUAUUGGUCAAUGGACGAGCGUCUGAACCAGCCAAGUAGCGUGAAGGAUGACUGCCCUAUGGGUUGUAAACUUCUUUUAUAUGGGAAUAAAACGUUCCACGUGUGGGAUUUUGUAUGUACCAUAUAAAUAAGGAUCGGCUAACUCCGUGCCAGCAGCAGCGGUAUUACGGAGGAUCAGAGCGUUAUCCGGAUUUAUUGGGUUUAAAGGGAGCGUAGGUGGAUUGUUAAGUCAGUUGUGAAAGUUUGCGGCUCAACCGUAAAAUUGCAGUUGAAACUGGCAGUCUUGAGUACAGUAGAGGUGGGCGGAAUUCGUGGUGUAGCGGUGAAAUGCUUAGAUAUCACGAAGAACUCCGAUUGCGAAGGCAGUUCACUGGACUGCAACUGACACUGAGGCUCGAAAGUGUGGGUAUCAAACAGGAUUAGAUACCCGAGUAGUC